rnacentral:misc_RNA from 1 species
CCCAGAGUAUGCGGGCUUUGCCUGCCACCUCUUACCCAUGUCUUUUGAGUACCUUCGUUUCCUCGGCGGGUCCGCCUGCCGACUGGACAAUUUAAACCAUUUGCAGUUGCAAUCAGCGUCUGAAAAAACUUAAUAGUUA